GUGGCUAAUCUUAGAUACACUCUAAUCUAAUCCUGCGAGCAUAAUUAAGGCAACCAUGAAAAUAUUGGGCGACCCUAUUGCUUAAAAUGAUCGGUAUUUAAGGCAACCAUCCAAAUCUUUGAGACUGGACUAGAUUUAGCUCAACAUUAGCCGGUACUCAUCUAAAGAGAAAAAUUGUGGAGAAAUUGUGACAGCAUGAUCCCGGAUCUGGCUGAUUGGGUUCGACAAAACGAUUUUUCAAAUGAUGAAGAUGAUGAUAAAGCUUUCUACUGGGGAUGAUGAUUAUAAUUUAUGUAUGAGUACUGAAAGUGAAAGUGAUGGUAAUGAGGGUGAUCGGAAAGGCAGGUGGGGACUGGUACCAAUGAUGCCACAAUUUUAGGUGAUGAGAAGCAAAAAUCAGAGGUGUCAGGAACAAGAAUGGAUACAGAAUUGGAUUUUCAUGGUAACAAUUUAAACUUUACUCGUAUUUAUAAUAGAUUUUUUUUUGACGCAGCUUAGUCAAUGUCCAUUCCUAGCAAAGAUAAGCAACAAGCAUAAGAAGAAUAAUCUCUCUAUCCCCAACAUUAGUAAAACAACAAGAAACAGGAGGUCACUUUAUUUUCCUUGUAAAGGUGUGCCAGCAGGUCAAAAACUGUUCCAUCCUCAAGUUCCCGUAGACGAUAUCACGCGCUUAGGUUUCAUUGGAACAGAGAGGGGGGGCUACAGCCAGGUUUAGUCGACCCAUGCUUCCGCCCCUGAUACGGAUUCCUGUUCAUUUAGCAGUAUGAAUUAGUACUGGUUAGACAUGUCCUCUUUUAUUAUAUGUAUCUAAUGAAUUUACAAUUCACAUGUAAAUUCAUGUGUAUCAAAGAUGGAGUUUCAGAGGAGGACAAAUUAGCAGCGAAUAAAGCCACUGAUGGGGAUGCUUCAGAGGAAGAUAUGUCAACUGAGAUGAAGGAGAAGCGAAAGUUACAAGAGGAUGGGGUCGAAUCAGAGCAAAAUGACGGUAUCGAAGCUUCUAUUGAAGUGAAGAAGAACUAGAACUCUAUAAGCACAAGUGUUGCUCAAGUAAGUUGGUAAUAAAAAUGAUUUUCUUUCUCUUUGGUGGUAAGUUAGCUGUAGAGAGGUGUUCUGGGCCAAUACUCCUUGGUGGUUUAGACAAAUUGGACUUAUUCUGCUAUGAUAUUAGUUAGCAAGGGUCAAUACUCAAUAGUGAUGGUUCAUAGGUAAAUCAGUAAUGGAUGGCGAUGAUUGUAGAAACGUUUUAGAGUUUUGCUCAUUUUACAUUUUAAAAUGCCUGUUCAUCUUGAGACCGUGGUCUCAAUUGAUUGAAAAAUUAGUCUCAUUUUGCAAUGGAGCUGCCUGUUAAGUAGCGGUGGAGACCUCCAAAGUGUGAUACUUGUAUGGUAUUUGGACAGUUAGCUAAGAACUGCUCAAAGAUAAGGAAGGCUAAAUGGACACCAAAAAGUACAAGGUCCCUGCUGCCACAUUGCUUAAUGGUGACACCGGAAAGGAAACAGCUGAGAAUAAUCAUAGUUGUAGAGAGAGGGAAGUAAACAACAAUUAAGAGGAUUUGAAUAUUGUUUGCCAAGGUGGUGAUGCUGCAGAGAAUUAUAAAACAGGGGAAAUGAAGGAUGGUAAUGGAGGCACCUUAACUUCAAAUGCAGCUGAAGUGGGUUCAGUUAAAGGGAAGAAUGUUUGCAACGAACCCCUGGUGCUUACUGCAACGGUGGAGUCCAGGUCUGAUAGGAAAAAUUCUUCUCAGGGAGAUUGGUUGUCUGCUGAAGGAAAGAAGACUUCAUCCCGCUGAUUCCCGCAACUGUUAAAGGUGAUAAGUCAGACCUCCUGCAUGCAAAAGAACCCAUUUAUUAUGUUGAGUGACUUCAAAGAAGGAAGAUUUCCCACUAGUACAAGAAAGGGAGAACUCACUGCCAGAAACUCUGAAGACAGAGAACAAAAAGAGAGCCCAUCUCGUUUAAGAUGGAACGGGAAAAAUGGGAAGGAUUGCAAAGAAAGUUUGGGGAGAGGUCAACGAACGCAUAUAAGGAAGUUCUAAAUAUUUUGUUCUUUGCAUUCUUUCUAUUUAGGUUUAGGUCCUUCCCUUUUAUGUGUUGUUUCAGCUGUAUGUAGAGUUGGCUUUUUAGCACUCCAUCUUGUUCUUAAGCUGUGUUUGGAGUUGGCUUUCUAGCACUCCCUCUUGUAUAGCUUAGUCGCUUCUACUUAUUUUUUAUUUUUUUUUGAAGCAUGGCUUCUACUUCUUAUGUUAUCUUACUCCUUUUUGGAUGAAACUAAUAACUAUAAUCUUUUCCAUUGAAGUGAGAAAAAGAACUUUAUAAGCA